rnacentral:hammerhead_ribozyme from 1 species
GCACUGCUGACGAGUCCCAAACAAGACGAAACAGCUGUUCAGUGC